CCUACGGGAGGCAGCAGUGAGGAAUAUUGGUCAAUGGGCGGAAGCCUGAACCAGCCAAGUAGCGUGCAGGAUGACGGCCCUACGGGUUGUAAACUGCUUUUAUACGGGAAUAACGCGCCUUACGUGUAGGGCUUUGCAUGUACCGUAUGAAUAAGGACCGGCUAAUUCCGUGCCAGCAGCCGCGGUAAUACGGAAGGGCCGGGCGUUCUCCGGAUGUAUUGGGUUGACGGGGAGCGUAGGCCGCAUGUCAAGCGGGCUGUGAAAUGUCCGGGCUCAACCCGGGCCUUGCAGCGCGAACGGGCGUGCGUGAGUCCGCGGAAGGCAGGCGGAAUGCGUCGUGUAGCGGUGAAAUGCUUAG
rnacentral:rRNA from 1 species